rnacentral:rRNA from 1 species
GAUGAACGCUGGCGGCGUGCCUAAUAUAUGCAAGUCGAGCGAACGGACGAGAAGAUUGCUUCUCUGAUGUUAGCGGCGGACGGGUGAGUAACACGUGGAUAACCUACCUCUAAGACUGGGAUAACUUCGGGAAAACGGAGCUAAUACUGGAUAAUAUUUUGAACCGCAUGGUUCAAAAGUGCAAGAGGGUCUUGCUGUCACUUAUAGAUGGAUCCGCGCUGCAUUAGCUAGUUGGUAAGGUAACGGCUUACCAAGGCAACGAUGCAUAGCCGACCUGAGAGGGUGAUCGGCCACACUGGAACUGAGACACGGUCCAGACUCCUACGGGAGGCAGCAGUAGGGAAUCUUGCACAAUGGGCGAAAGCCUGACGGAGCAACGCCGCGUGAGUGAUGAAGGUCUUCGGAUCGUAAAACUCUGUUAUUAGGAAAGAACAUAUGUGUAAGUAACUGUGCACAUCUUGACGGUACCUAAUCAGAAAGCCACGGCUAACUACGUG